GAGGAAUCUCUUGCCAAAGCUGACUGGUGUAUCUCAGGGUUGUAAAUAGAGUGUGCCUCUUUCUAGUCUCAUAUACACAGAUGGCAGAGGAGGCUAUAAGUGCCAGUCAUUAUUAACCAAUGAUGCACAUUCAUUAGUUUACCUCUGGAGUUUGUAAUUUGGAUUCAAGUCUUGCACAAAGACACUUCAGCAACUGACUGUAAGACCUGGGGUUGAACUGCCAACUCUCUGAUUUAGAGACAUCAGUUUAACCACGGAGCUACAGCUGCCCCUCGAUUUUGUGUGAGCCAUCAGGUAAUUACUUGGAAUCAUUACAUCAAACCCAGUCACAUUUUGGCAAGCAAACCAACCCUCCUCUGUCCACCAAGAGAUGAAGAAAUUGUGCGUCUACAUUUAACACAGGAUGACUUAUUAAAGCAAUUCUUUUAAAUGGGGACAUUAAUGUAUGUCUGACCUCAGUGUGUGGUAACCUGCCAGCUGAAAGAGCAGCACCGGUUUCUUGAAGUGGAAAGACUGUAGACUUAAUAUGAAGUCCAAAAUAAGAGAUAUUGUUAAUUUUAUUUUUUCUGUCUUCUGUGUCAACAAUUCUAUCACAAUCCAUCUUUAUCCUCUCUUUUUUGUGUAUCUCUCCUGAUCCAAUCCACUUCCACCUCUUUCCCGCAGUCACUCUCUCCACCUCCACUCCUCUUUCUCGCUUGCUUUCUCCCUGUCUCAUGAGUCACUGUGACAGGCUGUCAGUCCACCUCUCUGCCCCGUGUUUACAUUGGGCAGCAGAGCAGCGCCAGGCUGGUUGCACUUCAGGAAUGUAACCCCCAAGGUCCCUGCCCUCCUCCUCCUCCUCCUCCAUCUCCUCCUCUUUUACCCUCUAUCCUCUCUUUUCAUGCCCAUCUUCAAAUCUUUUAUACCAUUACCGGCGUUAAUACCACCCCUUUUUAUUACUUCCCUUCUGUUACCUUAUUUAUCGCUUUUAUUUUUUCCCUCCUUUCCCCUUCCUUCCGCUCAUCCUGACACCUUUUCCUCCUUUUCUCUUGUCCUUUCCCCCAUCUUCUCCCUCCCCUUAAAAUGUAGAAAGCUUUGUCCAACUCACUCGCACCCCCUCAACUCUCCUGUCAUCAUCACCCCAACCUCCCACUUUUCCCCAUCUCUCUCCAUCCGCCCUCCCUCAUUCCUCUGCUGCCUAACCCAAACAAACCAGGGAGGACUUUCCUCUGUGGUGGCUGCAGGAGAAACACACCACAUGUCUGACUUGGUUUAAAGAUAAACAUUAGUCAAUUUGAGGGACUGGAAAAGGAUAUGAGGCGCUUAACUUCAAUAUGAGAUAGAGCUACUAUCUGGAAAUCUUAAUGCUCAAUCUUACCACUGAAUAUACAGAAAUCAGAGUCAGAGCGAUGUACUUUGGAUUAAUAUUUAAAAAUAGAUGUUUGCAUUGAUAGAGCAAACUGUCUUCUAUUUAUUGUGACUGAGUUUUAUUUCACAAUUUCAUUACAAAACAGACUUCAGCAUUUCUUGGACAAAUCAGGCCUCCGGGCAAAUAAAGCAGGUCUUAUAAUUAUGAGGCAACCUUGCAGACCAUUCAGUUUUUCCAGUGACUCAGCAGAGUGUGUAAUCUCCUCUCAAAUGGGGAACCUUUUCAGUCAGAACACGGUCCUGUGGCAUUUCAGCGAGAAGCGUGUGACCCCUGCCACACUGUUUUUAAUCAGAUUAAACUAGUUAUGAAAGUCAACUAGAUUAGAGUUAGUGCAGGGGAGCUGGAGCACAAGGCAACGAUUCACAGUAGAAAGGAGAGGUGAUCAGCAUGAGGGAGAUCAGGCUGUUAGUGUUCUUAAAAUAACAGCGGGCAGUUCUCGGAUUCUGGAUAAGUCACUCUUAUUUUGCUCUGGCGUACAUAUUCUCAUUCAUGUAUGCAAAUUUGUUACUAAAGGGUAUACAUAAUACAUUUAUGUAUACAAACCAUGUGCAAUUUUAGAUUAGAAUUUUAGGCUAUGGACAUUGUGCAAUUCAAUUCAAUCUUGUACCGCGUCACUUAAAGAAGCUGUCCUGUAGCAAAUGGCACUUUAAAUACCUUUAGCACAUGACACUCUGAUUAGCACUUUAGCUUUAGCUUUAACUUUACAAUUCUCCUUUAAUCUUUUUGGUCCCCUUACUAUUGGCCACUUAGUUUUUGGUCUGUGUACGUUGUUUAUGUAUAUUAUGUGUAUGUUGUCAGUGCAUUGUUCUACUGUCUUAGUCAUGUUGUUUGUACUUUUAACAUUAUUGCUUUUAAGUUUAAAAUCAACCUGCCAAUGGGACUGGGGAUAGAAAUUAGCCAUCUGGCUUUAAUCCCACAUAUUUACACGUAAAUGUUCAUCAAUAUGUACUGUCCCCAGUUUUAAAAAUAAACAAAUAGAAAAAAUGUGUAUGCACGUGAUUGUGUGAGCUUUGCACUACAAUUACGUCAAAGAAGAAAAAUGCAGAGCAAUCAAAAUGACCAAAACAUUUUGUUUUUUUAAAAAAAGAGUCCUAAAAUUCCAUUAAUUUCUAAUGGUUUUUACAUGAUUCCGUCCUUUGCCAAAGAUGUUGACGUUUUGCUUUAGUCUUUGAAUGACCAACACUAAACGGAGGACAGAUUAUAGAACAUCACCUAUUUGUUUACACAAUUCCUUUAUGUGCUAACUGAAUAUUUAGUUACGUUAGUUUUAGUGUAUUUAUUAUAAAUUCAUGUUUCUAUUCAGAAUGUGGUUUAUAAAAAUAAGUUUGAACUUGCUUAGUGAUCUGCAGGUUUUCAUUUCUUUGCUGCAGCUGUUCCACAGAUUAACUCCUUUGACUGAUAUAAAGUGCAUUUUUGUGUUUGUACAUACAGGUUGUUUUUUAAAAAUGCAUAUUCCCUUGAGAUUAUGUUUGUUUUCUCUUAUUUGAAACAACUUUUGGAUGCCCUGUGGUAACUGAUUCUGAUUUGCUUUGUACAUGAUCUGAAUUGUUUUGAGGUCGACCAAAUCCUUGAACUUUAGUGCCUUCAGUUUGAUGAAGAGUGGGUUUUAUGGUUCUCUAUAGGUACUUUUAUAUACUAUUUUUAUAACUCUUUUUUGGAGUUUAACAUAUCAAUAUAUUUUUUGACACAUCAUUCAUUUGCAGCAGCAGAAAUAUUGGUUACUUAAAUAGAUCGGUUGUCUUUCCCCCCUCUAUUCAAGAUGGGUCCUACUCUUGUGUUUUACAUAUCAUUUGUGUGCGACCUUUCUGUGUUAAUGUUAAUAUAUGCAGCUACUAUUUGAAGAUGUUUCAGCCCAAAGACCCACAAUAAGUCUGAUGGAGCAGAGACAGUGAGGGAGCGAUCAGGUCAGGAGGUUCAGCCCUGGUGCUUCAGCUGAGUGAUCAUGUUGUUGCUGUCACUGCAGAAAGCCUCUCCCUGAACCCCAGAGACAGGAGAGCUGACCUGGAAGCAUUUAUCACCUCAGUGCUUUCUGACCUAUAACCUCCAGGUCUUAGAUAGGGGAGAGAUGUGCUAGAGGGGAAAAUAGAGAAAAUAGAAGUUUCAACACAAUGGAGGAGAAUUUCUGUAUUAUCUGUGGGAAAUUACUCCGGUUGUUUUCUUUCUGUUUCCCAAAUUUCUACUUGUAGGUUUAUGAAACUGUUGGGAACCUCUGCGGGCUUUUUGGAUGUGCAUUAGUAAAAACAUUUCUCUUGGUCUGAAGAUAAAAACUUUUCCAUUUUGUUUGUGUGGUCCUGAUUUUAUUGAGCUGAAAACCAUCAGUGAAGACUUGAAAGGGCAGGAAAAAAAAGUUGGUAGAGAUGGAUGUUUGCUGGCCCAGAGCCCAAUAGAACUAUUAACACCUCUGUGUAACGCUGAUACACCAAAGGCGUUCUUGGCUGAGGCCUUUUCAUCCAGGCUUUGACCUGGUAUCUAAAGCUGUGUGUGAGUGUCAGCGUGUGCAAGUGGAUGAGUGAAAUCUGAGCGGCCAUUUACUAGAGUCACAUCUCCUCUGAAUAUUUAUAGAACUGCUUAAGACGUGACCUUUUCUUUGGCACAGUUACACAGAAACACUUGAAGCAUAUCCAUUUUAAGACGGUCUGACACUUGAACUGAUGAUUUUAAGGUUUAUUCAAAAUCCCUCCAAAAUACAACAUAACAGCUGGUUACAAAACUCACUUUGUGCCUCUUCAGGGAGCGCUAAGACAAGAACAUGUUUACCUCUUUAGCUUUUAUUGUGUUACUUCUGUUCACCAACAUAAACUGAACUUUUUCUUAUGAUUGUUUUAAAAACAAAACCCUUAAAAAAUUAGACUCAGUCCAAAAAGUUGGAGAAUAGACCUGAGUUAAUUCAUUGGGCAAAAAAGCAUUAUAAGUACCAGGUGUUUUAUUACAUGUCCACUAGAAGUACUUCCUUAUUAAGUGGGUUAUUUACAAAACACAGGCCUCCAUCAAUCUAUGUAUCUGCCUGUCUUUCUUCAAGAUAUCUAUCUUCAGAUCUACAUCUAUGAGUCUACAAUUCAUCUAUCCAUCCUUGCAUUCAUCUGCUGUUUAAAUCCAUAGAUCUGCCUAUUUAUCCUCCCAUUCAUCCAUGUAGCAUCUAUGUAUCCAAGUAUCUAUCUAUCUGUCCAUAUCUAACGUCAAAGACGGCCCAAGGCAUAAGCGAACUAAGCGCCUGCUCAGGGCCCUGAGGCCAGUAGGGGGCCCCCAAGAGCAAUCCAAAAAAAAAAAAGUAAUUUUUUAAAAAUUUUUGCAUGUUUGAGAGAUGCUUUCUGUAUGAUCAAAUAUAUAUGAUAUGUCAAAGCUAUGCUACCAUUACGUGCCUCCUGCUGUGCAAAUGUGCAAUGGGCAUCCAAAGCGCAGGGAGUUGUGGGGCAAAACAAUGUCGCAAAAAGGGACGUAUCCUUCAGGAGCAGAGAAAAGAAAGAGGAAAAAAAUGCCAAGAUAAAGGUAUGUUUGCAUGUCAUUGAAUAUUAAUCAAAGAGAUUUGUGAAGGUGUGUGAAUGAUCAACAAUCAAUAUUAUUGGCAGAAAUAGUGCGCCCCAAAAUCAAAUUUUGCUUAGGGCCCCAUUGAGGCUUGGGUUGGCUCUGUCAAACAAACAUAUACAUAGUUAAAAUUAUAAAUACAAUUAAAGACACAGCUGUGAACACCUAACAACUACAAUUGUCUUUUUUUUUUUUUUUACAGUGUCUAGAAAUUGAAAUACACAGGGGUAGAUUGUGAGUCGAAACCCUCCCUUGCUCACCCCUCUUGUCCCCUCUUACCAAGUCCUAUCUGCCAAUCCCUACACCUUUAAAAUAAUGCACUCACUAAUGUAUCUAAGUUUCUGUUAUUACAGUAAACAUUGUUGUGCUGCCUGAAACACUCAGACAGGUGAUCAGUCUGGAGCUGACUGUCCUCUUUCAAGAUUGUAUGAGCGAAGCUGAUGAGUAGAGCAGAGGCCAGAGUGAGGGUUUGGUGGGUUUGAUGCCCAGUUGGCUGCAGAUGGCUGGCAGCCUCAAGUUUCUACAGAGGCAUCAAAGCCUAUCAAAGUAUGUAUGUGUGUGUGUGUGUGUGUGUGCGUGCGUGCGUGCGUGCGUGCGUGCGUGCGUGCGUGCGUGCGUGCGUGCGUGCGUGCGUGCGUGCGUGUGUGUUAUGUGUGUUGGGAAAGACUGUAAAUGACAUCAUACUAUAACAAGAUGUUUGUUCCUUGCUUUAACAUUGCAUGUCUUGUUCAGUGAAGAACUUUCCCACUGUGUGAUAGCCAAGGGUGGAUGUUUUCGUUUUACAGCCCUCACUACUGUGAAGAUUCCUGCACUAAUUCAGUUUAUGGUGACGUUUUCUUCUGAAGUGCAAACAACUGCAGAGCUAUAAACUGAGGAAUUUUUUGUUGCCUUGUGCACACAAGUUAGAAACCAGCUCAAAUUAAAGAAAUGGUACAAUUUAUUCGGGCAGGACAGUGGAGGACCAUGAGUAAACGCUCGCUGAUUUAUCUUUCAGUGCGUUUGAACUUAAAUCAUUAAGUGUCAUCUCAUCAAUUUAUAUAUUUAUAUAUUUUUUGGAAUUUAUUUAUUAGGUUUUUUACAAUUGAAAAUGUUACAGCAUAUAUACAGAAAUGCAAGAACAAACAUAUUUUUUUGUUUUUCCCUCUUCAACCCCCCAGCCCAGGGGACAAGCAAAAUAAAUUAAAAAAUAAAUUAAUUAAUAUUAAAUCAAAUGCAAAAUUAAAUAAAAUAAAUACAUUUAAAAAAAAGUAAAAAUAAAAAAAUAUGCGGUGAGUAUUUUCAGUAAAAAUAAUUCAAUUUUUACUCACAAAAAAAAAAAAAAAAAAAUGUACCCGCUCACUUGACUAUGUACCCAAUAGAGAAUACUGUGAAUGUAUUUGUUAUGACACUGAAUGAUAACCUGGUUUGUUUGUGUGUGUUUUGAGUGUUUGUCGACACAUAGUCGAUAUCAUUUCUGGCAAUGACUUUUGCAAGCAGCUGUGCAACAUUUCUACAUGCAUAAGUAUCUGUUCUGCAUGUCAGCUGCUGAAAGUGGAGAAAGGCACGGAGGAUGGAUGUAAAUACAUAAAGGCGUCUGUGAGUGUGUGCCGGGACUAGGACCCGAUGAUGACAGCGACUUAUGGAACUGAAACUGAGGAGGGAUGUGAAGAAAAAUGGCUGACAUGCUGUGCAAGUCGCGGAUACUUGACACCAACAGGUCCGUACAGCAACCUUCACUUAAAUUUAUCUCUACACCCAGAUGUGUUGAGGGAUUCAAGGAGGGACACCCUGCAUGUAACCUAAUGUGGCAGGAAUACAUUAUUUAAAUAAGUUUAUAUAGCAAGCUUUUUCAAACAUAUUUUCAACUUUUAUUCAUCAGAACCAAGAUUUUGGCACCAGGUUUGCAUUUGUAAAAGUCUGACUGCGUAAAUAAAGGUGUGUAUGUGUGUAUUUCUGUGUGACAAGAGACACCUGAGACGGUUAGAAGGUCAUUCCAGGAGUCUGGUCGUGUAGCUUUGAUCAUUUUCUCGUCGCCUCAGAAAUAGACCACAGAGGAUGGGUUGGGCACAACGUUCCCCUCUCUUUGAGUGUGUGUCUGAGUGAGGGAGAGACCUAGGCAGAGUGCUGGCAAAGCAAACUGACAGGGAAUCCACUAUUGUUUGAAGUGCACAAGCCUGUGUUUGCAUGACUGCACCGCUGCAAUGGCAUCGGUACCAUUGUUUGCCACUGCUGGCAUUAGCUGUGUGAACGUGGUCAUACACAUGUAUGCAAAUGCAUGGGUGAGACAGUGUGGAUGUGUGCAGUCACGCAGCAUUUCAACCAUGAUCAUAUCUUUGAAGCCGGGUGAGCAGAUAUCCUCAUCGAGUCUAAGAAAGCAAAGAUCAGAAUGACAAAAAUAUUUACAACUCUUUCUUUAGUUACAUUAUGCAAACAUCAUGUUUGUCCUGGGGUGUGUAAUAAUAUCAUGGCCCUGCAGGUAAUCUAAUUUUGAGUUAAUCAGACUAUAAAUGACAACUUUGUUUGCUUCAUAGAGCACAGAUGCAACAUAUAUAUAUUGAUCAAUUUUGUGGCUUUUUAAUGGGGUGCAGCAUGAGAACAGAUUUACAAGCUGCAGGAGUAGAUAUUAAGGAAAGAGAUCCCUUGUUCUGUGUUUAGUCUACUGAAUUCAAACUUCAGCAGACCUUGUAGGGCAAGGAUUCAGUGCACAGUUGAAGAAGGUCUGAAAGUGUAAACUUAAUAAGCCCAUAAAGCUGCACAACAUGACUGAUGGGAAGUGACUCACAAUGCACAGCACUAAGCGAGAGGAAACCACCCAGCACGCCAGGCUCGGUUUUGAAGAAAAAAAGGGUCUCUAUUUCCGACAAGAAGUAGUUCUUUCAGACAAACAAGUUUUCUGAUGACAUAAGCUCUUUCGCAACUGAAGGAAAACACUGACAAGUUAAAUAACAUGCAGUUAAACACCGUAUGUUUCAAAGAUAGUAUCAUUGAUCAUUAAAUCAAAUAUCUACCAAACUUAACAUUUGAUGCCAUACGAAGAACUGGUAAACCUCCAAAUGAAAACAGUGAUAUAGUAAAAUCAUAAAAGCUCAAAGUCCAAUCUUGGGCCAUAGUUCAAUCAAUCAAUCAAUCAACUUUAUUUCUAUAGCACAUUAAAAAAAACUAUGAGGGUAGCCAAAAUGCUGUACAUUGUGACAUAAAAACAAAUAAAACAAGCUUGCUGUUUUUUACACGUUACGAGUUUGCUGAUAUUUUACAGUAAGAGAAUAUUGCAUCACUUUUUUUUUGCUUAAAAUAGUUCCCUUAUGACCACGCAUGUAUCAUUUUUUAUUCCGCUCCAGGCAUGUCCAGGCAAUGUACUAACCGCAAACAUAAAUGAUCACUUUUUACAGAUAAAAUUGGAACGCCUUCUCUUCCAGUUACCUACUCUACCAACUUUCCUGACUUCCAGUAUCAGUUCUUUUUCAUUAGAAAAACAAAUCCGCAGAGCAAGAUCAGCGAAGAGAUUGGAGGUGCUGCUUUGUCUACAGUGGGAACCAAAAUCAACAUAAACCACAAGUUCCUCACAGACACUUUGAAGCUGUUUCUAAUAUUUUUCUGCAAAGUGAUAAAACAACAGAUUUUAUCUUAGCUUUGCCAUAGUUUAACUCCUUUCAGUGUGAAUAACUUUGACUUCACUGCAGUGGAAAUGAGGAAACGGCAAUGGUGCACAUGAGAACACACUCACAUUAGACAAAUGCCUUUGCUGGUUUUUCGACAAAGGCCCUCAACCAAACAUAGUUUUAUCAAAGCUAAUGUUCACUUCAUGGUCUUCUCAGAGAGGUAAAUGCUUGUUUGAAUAAAUGUCCAGAAGAAAAGGAAAAGGAGGAUCCAUCUCUGAGUCCGUCUUUGCACAAGGACCUUCCAAGGUUGCAUUUUAAACCACACAAAGUCCCACAAGCUCCAUCAAUCCCUCAUAAAGGUAUUGCAGCAUUUAUUCCCCUUCAAAACAAAGCAGCACAGAGCACCAGUGGGGAUGCAAAGGCAUACUUGGCCUGCUUCCAACUGCCCUCCCAACUGCUCCAGAGAGACAAAUCUCUGGAAGCAGAAUAGAGGUUGUUAAAGGACGUCACCAUGGGACGUGGUCGGACUCACCUUCCUGUUUCACAAUUCACAAACAGCUGAGAAAGAUGUACAAUCAGAGACAAAUGCACCCAAACAUGCAGGCGAUCACUCAAGGGCUGGAGGAAAGAAAGCCCUGAACAUUGAGCAGAGUUCACACAAUCACAAGGGAGGGGGCUUAAAUCAAAAGCAUAUAACAUGCAAACGGAGCAGGGGAAACGGGAAGCCCUGAGGAUGGGGAGGAAGAUUGUGACUGAAAGAGAGAAUUUUUAUAAUGAGAGAGUGGGGAAUAUCUACAAAUUGUAUCUUGUAUGAAUCAGAAUUUUAUGUUUCCCCCUUUAGAAAUAACCGUCCACAUCUGUGAGGACGAACAUGUCUCUUUCUCAAAAAAGAGCUCCACUCCACUGUUUUGAUUCUUUUCAAAGGUCACAGAAGAUUAGGGAAAUAGAAAAUAUGAGCUGCAUACUUUCACUUCUGCUCUCUGUUUGAUUUCCACCAAAUCAAACACUGAAUGACUCUGAGACCCAUGCUCACUAUCUACACUAUGUUGAUAAACGACCCUGUUUAGUGGGGGAUUUUCUUUACUGAUGUACUUAUGAUUGGUCUUGUCCUGGACGUACAUGGAG